AGACUGAGUUCUGCUGAAAUGACUGCCACAAUCCACACCAUGAAGGCUGGAGGGCACAGAUGUGGCAAGCAGAGUGAUUUUGCACACAAAUUUAUAUCACAUACGGAAUUAAUUCUUCACUAUGGCUUUGCAUUCCUGCAGGAUUUCUUUCAGGGUAUGAAGGCCAAGCUGUGAGGGGAACUUUGCUACGUGAUAAAAGACUGGGGGAGAAAUGUCUUGUUACCUAGAGAAAGCCACCAUGAAGUAAGCAGCUUUGCUCUCCCAUCAGGAAGUGCUGCCUUACCAUAGGCCCAAAGUGGCAGGGCCAAGCAACCAUGAACUGAAGUCUCUGAAAUUAAUAGUGCACCAUGGCAAACUGAAGAGAGAUUCUCACUCUGGAAUUGGGAAAGUCUGCUGCCAUGUUGAGAGGGCCAGUUAACUGAGACUGACGAAAGACCCCACAGGAGCAGAGAUCGAGGCCGUUGAGAGCCAGCAAAAGACAGCAACAAAACUUGCAACUCAAUUUCUAAAAGAACUGCAAGGAACUGAAUUUUUCCAGCAACCGUGGGAGUUUGGAAGAGAAUCCAGCCUCACAGACAUAAAUGUGUUUGCUACCUGGAGCUGCCUCCAUGAGUUCUAACAAUCAAGAAGGCUUCAGACAAUUCCCACUUGAUUCCGCGCCUCUUGGGUGAUGGCUACUCUGAGGCACUGGCUUGCAGAAUGUAGUCUACUGACCUCUGGGGAUCCUCAAGACCUCUGACCUCCAGGACGGUACAGUGAUAAAUUUACAUUGUUUGAUGCCUCUGAAUUUGUAGUGAUUAGUUACUGCAGCGACAGAAAACUAAUGUAGGGCCUUCAAUCAUUUUUAUGACUGUGAAGGUGUCCCGAAACCAAAAAGUUUGGUAACCGGAAGAUAGCUUCGAUGGAGUCAGAA